rnacentral:rRNA from 1 species
UGGGGAAUUUUACGCAAUGGGGGAAACCCUGACGUAGCGACACCGCGUGAGCGAAGAAGCCCUUUGGGGUGUAAAGCUCUGUCAGCUGGAACGAAAAAAAUGACGGUACCAGCAGAGGAAGCAUCGGCUAACUACGUGCCAGCAGCCGCGGUAAGACGUAGGAUGCGAGCGUUGUCCGGAUUUAUUGGGCGUAAAGAGUUCGUAGGUGGUUUGUUAAGUCUGGUGUUAAAGAUCGGGGCUCAACCCCGGGAGUGCAUUGGAUACUGGCAGACUUGAGUGCAGUAGAGGCGAGUGGAAUUCCUAGUGUAGCGGUGAAAUGCGUAGAUAUUAGGAAGAACACCAGUGGCGUAAGCGACUCGCUGGGCUGUAACUGACACUGAGGAACGAAAGCCAGGGUAGCGAAUGGG